UACGUAGGGCGCAAGCGUUGUCCGGAAUUACUGGGCGUAAAGCGCGUGUAGGCGGCUCUGCAAGUCAGGUGUGAAAUCCCACGGCUCAACCAUGGAAGUGCACUUGAAACUGCAGGGCUAGAGUCCUGGAGAGGAAGGUGGAAUGCUUGGUGUAGAGGUGAAAUUCGUAGAUAUCAAGCGGAACACCGGUGGCGAAGGCGGCCUUCUGGACAGUGACUGACGCUGAGACGCGAAAGCCAGGGGAGCGAACGGG
rnacentral:rRNA from 1 species